GCUCAUUAAAACAGUUAUAAUUUAUUUGGUGGUCAUUCUCUACAUGGAUAACUGUGGUAAUUCUAUAGCUAAUACAUGCUUACCAACCCAACUUCAUGGAAGGGUUGUGGUUAUUAGUUACAGAACCAACCCAAGCUUUGCUUGGUCUUGCGGUGAUUCAUGAUGACUGAAUGAAUUGCAUGGCAUUGCUGGCGAUAUAUCAUUCAAGUUUCUGACCUAUCAGCUUCCGACGGUAGGGUAUUGGCUUACCGUGGCAAUGACGGGUAACGGAGGAUUAGGGUUUGAUUCCGGAGAGGGAGCCUGAGAAACGGCUACCACAUCUAAGGAAGGCAGCAGGCGCGCAAAUUACCCAAUCCUGACACUGGGAGGUAGUGACAAGAAAUAACAAUACAGGGCAUCCAUGUCUUGUAAUUGGAAUGAAUGGAAAUUAAACCUCUUUGUAAGUAUCGAUUGGAGGGCAAGUCUGGUGCCAGCAGCCGCGGUAAUUCCAGCUCCAAUAGCGUAUAUUAAAGUUGUUGCGGUUAAAAAGCUCGUAGUUGGAUUUCUGCUAAGGGUGGCUGA
rnacentral:rRNA from 1 species